CGGUGGCCAUAGCUGAGUGACAAUACCCGUUCCCAUCCCGAACACGGAAGUCAAGCGCUCACACGCCGAUGGUACUGCAUUGAUUUGCGGGAGAGUAGGUAGCCGCCGGGC
rnacentral:rRNA from 1 species